rnacentral:rRNA from 1 species
AACGAACGCUGGCGGCAUGCCUAACACAUGCAAGUCGAACGAGACCUUCGGGUCUAGUGGCGCACGGGUGCGUAACGCGUGGGAACCUGCCCUUAGGUUCGGAAUAACUCCCCGAAAGGGGUGCUAAUACCGGAUAAUGUCUUCGGACCAAAGAUUUAUCGCCUUUGGAUGGGCCCGCGUUGGAUUAGCUAGUUGGUAGGGUAAAAGCCUACCAAGGCGACGAUCCAUAGCUGGUCUGAGAGGAUGAUCAGCCACACUGGGACUGAGACACGGCCCAGACUCCUACGGGAGGCAGCAGUGGGGAAUAUUGGACAAUGGGCGAAAGCCUGAUCAAGCAAUGACGCGUGAGUGAUGAAGGCCUUAGGGUUGUAAAGCUCUUUUACCCGGGAUGAUAAUGACAGUACCGGGAGAAUAAGCUCCGGCUAACUCCGUG